rnacentral:rRNA from 1 species
GAUGAACGCUGGCGGCGUGCCUAAUACAUGCAAGUCGAGCGAACGGACGAGAAGCUUGCUUCUCUGAUGUUAGCGGCGGACGGGUGAGUAACACGUCGAUAACCUACCUAUAAGACUGGGAUAACUUCGGGAAACCGGAGCUAAUACCGGAUAAUAUUUUGAACCGCAUGGUUCAAAAGUGAAAGACGGUCUUGCUGUCACUUAUAGAUGGAUCCGCGCUGCAUUAGCUAGUUGGUAAGGUAACGGCUUACCAAGGCAACGAUGCAUAGCCGACCUGAGAGGGUGAUCGGCCACACUGGAACUGAGACACGGUCCAGACUCCUACGGGAGGCAGCAGUAGGGAAUCUUCCGCAAUGGGCGAAAGCCUGACGGAGCAACGCCGCGUGAGUGAUGAAGGUCUUCGGAUCGUAAAACUCUGUUAUUAGGGAAGAACAUAUGUGUAAGUAACUGCGCACAUCUUGCCGGUACCUAAUCAGAAAGCCACGGCUAACUACGUG